CGAUGUGAUCAUACGAGCACUAAUGCACCAGAUCCCAUUGGAACUCUACAGUUAACCGUGCUUGGGCGAGAGUUGUAUUAGGAUGGGUGACCUCCUAGGAAGUCCUCGUGUUGCAUCCU